rnacentral:rRNA from 3 species
UUAAAUUGAAGAGUUUGAUCAUGGCUCAGAUUGAACGCUGGCGGCAGGCCUAACACAUGCAAGUCGAACGGUAACAGGAAGAAGCUUGCUUCUUUGCUGACGAGUGGCGGACGGGUGAGUAAUGUCUGGGAAACUG